UGGGGAAUAUUGGACAAUGGGGGGAACCCUGAUCCAGCCAUGCCGCGUGUGUGAAGAAGGCCUUAUGGUUGUAAAGCACUUUAAGCGAGGAGGAGGGUACUGGUAUUAAUACUACCAGGUACUGGACGUUACUCGCAGAAUAAGCACCGGCUAACUCUGUGCCAGCAGCCGCGGUAAUACAGAGGGUGCGAGCGUUAAUCGGAUUUACUGGGCGUAAAGCGUGCGUAGGCGGCUAAUUGAGUCGGAUGUGAAAUCCCCGAGCUUAACUUGGGAAUUGCAUUCGAUACUGGUUAGCUAGAGUGUGGGAGAGGAUGGUAGAAUUCCAGGUGUAGCGGAGAAAUGCGUAGAGAUCUGGAGGAAUACCGAUGGCGAAGGCAGCCAUCUGGCCUAACACUGACGCUGAGGUGCGAAAGCAUGGGGAGCAAACAAG
rnacentral:rRNA from 1 species